CCUACGGGUGACAGCAGUGGGGAAUAUUGCACAAUGGGGGAAACCCUGAUGCAGCAACGCCGCGUGAGUGAAGAAGGAUUUCGGUAUGUAAAGCUCUAUCAGCCGGGACGAAGAAAGCCGGUACCUGUCUAAGAAGCCCCGGCUAACUACGUGCCAGCAGCAGCGGUAAUUCGUAGGUGGCAACCGUUAUCCGGAUUUACGGGGUGUAAAGGGAGCGUAGACGGCUGUGCAAGUCUGAAGUGAAAGCCCGUGGCUCAACCGCGGAACUGCCUUGGAAACUGUAUAGCUUGAGUACUGGAGAGGCAGGCGGAAUUCCUAGUGUAGCGGUGAAAUGCGUAGAUAGUAGGAGGAACACCAGUGGCGAAGGCGGCCAUCUGGACAGAAACUGACGUUGAGGCUCGAAAGCGUGGGGAGCAAACAGGAUUAGAUACCCCUGUAGUC
rnacentral:rRNA from 1 species